GUGUUGGUGAACCGUUUCCUGUGAUGAUCAGCGGUCCCUCUGACGAGAAAAUAUACGCGUUAGGUAUAUAUAGGGCCAAUGUGGCCAAGUACAACUGUGGUCAUAGUUCAGAUGGAGAAAUGAGAAUGGCUUGGGAAUGGAUCGGUGAUUCACAAUGCUAGUCAGAAAUCCCUUCUGCCCUCAGUGGAUAUAUGUUGUAAUAGUUUCGCGCGGAGAUCAGUAAAAGACUUAAUAAAACCUAGAUAUGGUUAAGAAUGCUAAUCAUAAUUUGUAUGAUGGUU
rnacentral:lncRNA from 1 species